rnacentral:rRNA from 1 species
CUUAUUGAGAGUUUGAUUCUGGCUCAGGAUGAACGCUGGCGGCGUGUCUAAGGCAUGCAAGUCGAGUGGGUUUAGACCCACGGCAAACGGGUGCGUAACACAUUGGUAACUUACCCCGAAGUCAUGGAUAAUCUUGCGAAAGCGAGUCUAAUACAUGAUGGUAGUGAGGGGACUCAAGUCAUUCUCACUUAAAGAUUUAUUGCUUCGGGAAAGGCCUAUGGCUUAUCAGCUAGUUGGUGAGGUAAUGGCUCACCAAGGCUACGACGAGUAGCGGGAUUGAGAGAUCGACCCGCCUCACUGGGACUGAGACACUGCCCAGACUCCUACGGGAGGCUGCAGUCAAGAAUAUUCCCCAAUGGCCGAAAGGCUGAGGGAGCGACGCCGCGUGUAUGAAGAAACCCUUCGGGGUGUAAAGUACUUUUAAUCGGGACGAAACAAUGACGGUACCGAUUGAAUAAGGGGCUGCUAAACUCGUGCCAGCAGCAGCGGUAAUACGAGUGCCCCAAGCGUUAUCCGGAUUUAUUGGGCGUAAAGCGUACGUAGGUGGUUUAUCGCAUCUCCUGUUAAAUCCCGAGGCUCAACUUCGGGGCUGCGGGAGAGAUGGCUAAACUAGAGACCGGGAGAGGUAAGCGGAAUUGCUGGUGUAGGGGUUAAAUCCGUUAAUAUCAGCAAGAACACCUAAUGUGAAGACAGCUUACUAGAACGGUUCUGACACUAAGGUACGAAAGCGUGGGGAGCGAAUGGGAUUAGAUACCCCAGUAGUCCACGCCGUAAACGAUGGAUGCUAAGCCUUGGAAGUAUCGACCCUUCCAGUGCUGUCUACCUAAGUUAACACCUUAAGCAUCCCGCCUGGGGAGUACGAGCGCAAGCUUAAAACUCAAAGAAAUAGACGGGGACCCGCACAAGCGGUGGAGCAUGUGGUUUAAUUCGACGAUAAGCGAGGAACCUCACCAAGGUUUGACAUCUAGCUGCAGAGCCCUGGAAACAGGGCAGCCUUCGAGGGUGCUAGACAGAUACUGCAUGGUUGUCGUCAGCUCGUGUCGUGAGAUGUACCGUUAAUUCGGGAAACGAGCGCAACCCCUAUCCUAUGUUUUACAUGUCAUAGGAAACUGCCCGCUUUAAGUGGGAGGAAGGUGGGGAUGACGUCAAAUCAGCAUGGUUCUUACACCUUGGGCGACACACGUGCUACAAUGGAAAGUACAAAGGGACGCCAAAGCGUAAGCUGGAGCAAAUCCUUUAAAACUUUUCUCAGUUCGGAUUGAGGUCUGCAACUCGACCUCAUGAAGCUGGAAUCGCUAGUAAACGUGAAUCAGCCACGUCACGUUGAAUACGUUCUCGGGUCUUGUACUCACCGCCCGUCACGCCAAGAGAGUCGGUAAUGCCCGAAAAGCCUCGUUAGAGGCGCUAAGGCAGGACCGAUAAUAGGGGCGAAGUCGUAACAAGGCAUCCGUAGCGGAAGCUGUGGAUGGAUCACCUCCUUU